AAUGAACGCUGGCGGCAGGACUAACACAUGCAAGUCGAACGAGUGGCGGACGGGUGAGUAAUGUCUGGGAAACUGCCUGAUGGAGGGGGAUAACUACUGGAAACGGUAGCUAAUACCGCAUACCAUCGGAUGUGCCCAGAUGGGAUUAGCUAGUAGGUGGGGUAACGGCUCACCUAGGCGACGAUCCCUAGCUGGUCUGAGAGGCUGACCAGCCCCACUGGAACUGAGACACGGUCCCGAGUCCUACGGUAGGCAGCCGUGGGGAAUAUUGCACAAUGGGCGCACGCCUGAGGCAGCCAUGGCGCGUGUAUGAAGAAGGCCUUCGGGUUGUAACGUACGUGCAGCGGGGAGGCGUUACCCGCAGAAGAAGCACCGGCUAACUCCGUGCCAGCAGCCGCGUUAAUAC
rnacentral:rRNA from 1 species